CGCAAUGGGCGAAAGCCUGACGGAGCAACGCCGCGUGAGGGACGAAGGCCUCUGGGCUGUAAACCUCUUUCGUCAGGGAAGAUAAUGACGGUACCUGAAGAAGAAGAUCCGGCUAACUCCGUGCCAGCAGCCGCGGUAAUACGGAGGGAUCUAGCGUUAUUCGGAAUUACUGGGCGUAAAGCGAGCGUAGGCGGAUUUGUAAGUUGGAGGUGAAAUCCCAGAGCUUAACUCAGGAACCGCCUUCAAAACUACAUUUCUUGGGUUUGGUAGAGGAGAGUGGAAUUCCUAGUGUAGAGGUGGAAUUCGUAGAUAUUAGGAGGAACACCAGUGGUGAAGGCGACUCUCUGGGCCAAUACUGACGCUGAGGUUCGAAAGCAUGGGUAGCGAACAGGAUUAGAUACCCUGGUAGUCCAUGCAGU
rnacentral:rRNA from 1 species